rnacentral:misc_RNA from 1 species
GAGAGAGAGAGAGAGAGAGAACAACUAAAGGGAGAGUGAUUGGUAAAUUUGGUUUAAUUAUAGGGUAAUAAUGCCUUUUUACUAAACACUAACAACAAAAAGUGCAAUUUUUUUAUGCAUGCACCUAUUCAUCAACGGAUGCAUGCAAUAUGCAAGGUACUAUUUAGUCUGAUUAUGAAAAUAUAAAUAUUGACCUGUUGAUACUGAAACCUGAGGGACUAAAUUGAAAUUCUCUUCUUU